CUCAACACCGAAUUCAACACCUCAUUUUGCCUACCCACGAAUAUCCCCUACUCGACUUUUGAAUCAUCAUCCACUCUACAUGCCUUCUUUAUUUCCCCUGCUUCUGUGCGAAUCCUUGCCAUUUCUCUGCCUCCCACCACCUUGCUGUCACAGCUUGGACUUCCAACUAUGACUACUCUUCUAAUAUACACAGACUAAGGU
rnacentral:lncRNA from 1 species